rnacentral:rRNA from 1 species
UACGUAGGGUGCAAGCGUUAAUCGGAAUUACUGGGCGUAAAGCGUGCGCAGGCGGUGAUGUAAGACAGUUGUGAAAUCCCCGGGCUCAACCUGGGAACUGCAUCUGUGACUGCAUCGCUGGAGUGCGGCAGAGGGGGAUGGAAUUCCGCGUGUAGCAGUGAAAUGCAUAGAUAUGCGGAGGGACACCGAUGGCGAAGGCAAUCCCCUGGGCCUGCACUGACGCUCAUGCACGAAAGCGUGGGGAGCAAACAGG